AAAAUCCAUUGGCAAUAAACCUCAUGUGUAAUAAACUUUACCUCAUUUUGAGUUAAAAAACUGAAAUUCUGAAUUAUUCAGACUAAUAUUAGAGGAAUGUAUGUUGGUAGAUAAUCAGAGACUCAUGUAUGUCAGUGUA